AACCCUCUCAUUCUAAUUCUUUAUUUGAUAUAAGGAGUUGGUAUGGAUGUUGAGUGUUGCCGUCAUUGGCUCACUUUAAAUACAUAAGUACUUUUAUCUUGAAAAAUAAAUGGAGAAAUACUUGGUGUAAUAUUUAUGUUUCAUUAAGGAGUGUGGUUUAAUUACUACAGCCAUUUGUUUUGGAUAAAUAGCUUCCUAACCCUAUUAUAUUUAAAC
rnacentral:misc_RNA from 1 species